AUUGAUAGUUUAAUAGCCAAGCAUGUAGGAGAGUGAGAGAUUUUCCGUCUGUUGAUUGAGAAAGCCAAAGGGAGGAAAAGCCAUUGCACAAUUCUAGAGCAGGGUGAUUAUUCAGAGAACUUCACAAGCUUUGCUCAUCUUUGUUACAGCUUUGGUGGUCAGAGAAGUAAUCAAUGAAGAGUCACAUGAAGAACACUGAUGGAUACAAGCCAGGGGCAGGAAGACAGCCCAAGGACCAACAUGAAAGCCUCUUCAUGGACUUUGAAAAUUGAGAAAGGAAAUAAUCUGAUGCUCACCAGAGCCAAAAAUACAAAUCAGGCAUCGUCAAUCUUUAUUCAAGACUAUCACCUAUAAAGGCAACAUCUUUUUAAUCUCUGCCAAAGGAACGUGCAUGGAACAGAUGCCAAAGACAGCUUGGAAACUUUCGAGAGGGUUGGAAACAGCAGUUCCUAUUAGUCUCUCUAUCUACUGUAUCCAGGGUUGGCAUCAGAAGCAGUCACUGUGCUUGCCAAGGACUCAGGUGGCAUCCUGAAGGGACUACUACUUAUGAAGCCAUGUGGUGAUUUGUAUUCCUUUCAAAUUCCAAGACAAAAAUAGAGACCAUGUAUAUGGAUGCUAACCCUUAAUUGGGAAAAAAAAAAUUGUUUCAAUAAAAUGUUGUCUUUUAAUAGUUUAUUCCAAAGUUCAUGCUCAAUAUUGGACACUAAUCCAACAGAUUGUAGCAAGGUUUUGUGCAAAAUGACCACCUUCUUCUAAUUUGUCUGGCUGAAUAUUUCCUGUACCUUAUAAAAGAGGGAUAGGAUGUCCUGGGUGAAACCAUCAACAUCAGGUCUGCAGUCACCUUGAGAGCCACAGCUCCCUGCUUUUCCUCACCCUCUGAGCUCUGACUUCUACAGACCUUUCUUUCUUGUUUAUAUCUGCCACUAUCUGUCUUGCUGAGGUCCUACUGUGCUUUCUUACCCUAUGCCGUCUCCUCAAAACUAUUUUCUCCAACUCUAUUUCAUACUACCAUUUAAUUUUUCCUUCAGUUACACCUUUCAUAAAUACUUCCAUUUUAGUCCUUAUACUAAAGUCUGACUUGCAGGCAAACUGCAAAAGCAAUAAAAACAACCCCUUUCUAUGCCUCAAUUUUAACACCUAUAGUAUAGCAUUCUGUUUGUCUAUUGGUAUAUCAGUAUCACCACCUAGAUUUUGACCUCUGUGAAAGCUGACGCUAGAUCAUAUUUACCACUCUCCUUCUAAUCUUGGCUUUGGAACUGACACAUAGCAGAUGAUGAAUCAAUAAUGGUUAAAUAAAUGAGAGAAAAAAAGGUCCUUAUUCUUUAAGGAAAAAAAAAGCUUUCUAUACAUAAAAGAGACAGUUAAGUUUUAUUUUCUAUAUUUCUUACCAGAAUGUGGCCCCUGGGGUCAAAUCCUGACUCCUUCACUUGGUACCUGUUUUACUUUUUCAAGCUGAUUCAGUUCAGUUCAGUUCAGUUGCUCAGUCAUGUCCGACUCUUUGCAACCCCAUGAAUCGCAGCACACCAGGCCUCCCUGCCCAUCACCAACUCCCAGAGUUCGCUCAAACU